rnacentral:lncRNA from 1 species
ACCACCCACACUCUCACCGACAGCAGCCUGGAGACAGAGAAGAUCCUCCUGACGGAACCAGUGCCUGAACUGGGCCAAACCGAGUACCAGCUGCUCAAGCUCUUCGUUCUGCUUGUGUUUGUCCUGGUGCUGUCGUCCUGUUACUUGGCCUUCAGAGUGUGUCGACUGGAGCAGCAGCUCAGCUUCCUCAGCAGCCAGUCCCCGCUCCGAGAGAGGUGCGGAGAGGUGCCGUGCUGGCUGACCAAUCAGAAACAGGAACCUGACGUGGGAGCCAAUCACAGCUGAUAUCCUCACCUGACUUCCUGUAGACUUCCUGUUUGAGAGCGGCGUUAUUUGGAGACUUCGCUUUUACCGUAAACACGUCUGCGGCUCCUGCCCGAUCCCCUUACUCAGUAGUGCACAGCGUGUGGGGGGGAGAAAAACGUUUUGCAGCUAUUUUGACUGAGAAAAUAGUACGUUUUAGAUCUUUACCAGCAACAACUAACAACUUAUUCACUGGAUCUGGGUCUUAUUUUGAAAAACAGCUCGCAAAAUCCCGUUUUAAGGGCAUUAGUACAGAUGCAGUACAGAAACCAGCACAGAACUAGCAAUAAACCAUUUCAGACUUUCAAAAUAAGAGCUCAGAAUCCCUAUUUAUUAUGUAUUAGAUGUAAUUUAUAAGGAAAUGUUGCAAUGUUUAAAAAAAAUAGAUUUGUAAAGAUUGUUACUCAAAAACGUCGUGGCCUUCAGGAAUUUCGAGACGAACGUUGAUGUUAUUUGCAAAUACUGUGCGAUUUGUAGCAGGAUUUUAUUUUUGAGGCUGAAAUCUUUAGCAGGUAAAUUUGCUGAAAUGUAAAUAGAGCGACUUGAAAGUAAGUGUUACUAAGAUUUAUAUUUAUUUGUGGAGUUUUUCAAGAGUCGGGGUGUAACGUCCAUUUGUCCUCAGAGGCCUGAACGUGGAGCCGGGAAAUCUGUCCUCAUUCCUCUGUUUUAUAUGGCAUUUGCAUAUCUUUAGAAUCAAACAAGCACGUGUGGCAUUAGAAUAUAGUAUUUAGGUAUUCAAAUGGCGCUAAAAAGCAUUACAUUUGACUUGCUGCUAUUGUGCGUAAACCUUUUUCUAAAGCAGGGCGAUGCCGUGCUG